GUAGAGGUGGGGUUACUACCGAAGGAGGGCUCCAAGCAACGGCGCUAGACUGUGUAGCUACGCUUUUUUCACUGUUUUGGGAUUCUUACAAACAAACGUCCACGUGACGUGGCUGACAUGUCAAAAGAAUCUACAUCAGCCAACCACCUUCCUCAUUCGAGAUGACAUACUGAUUAAAUCCUCCAAAAAUUGUUUUCUCCACCGACUAAAAAAAUAUGAACUGUUGCAAUAAGUUGACACAGGCUUGUCCUCUGAACCCAUCUUGCAAUGUAUCCUGAGGCUUCAGCCAAACCAACUCCCUGGCCUCUACACAAAGACACUAAGAAAAUAAUGCUGCAAGUAAAAUACUUAAGCUGAUGCAAGACUGAUCAAGUAGAUUUUUAUUUGUAUUUGAGUAGAAUUUUAAACUGCAGUGUAAAUAUGUAUUUUUGUCAUUUUUGAAAUAUGUAAUAAGCAAUAAAAUGGGGUUGUGUGGCAAUACAAUAUAUCCAUGGUACACACAUGCACCUAAACUAUGACUGUAUUUUGAGGUAAAACACAUAUGAUGCUUCAUAUUACAAUUUGAUUCAUUGUCGGUAAUAAUAAUAAUAAUAAUUCCCUACAUUUAUAUAGCACUUUUCUAAA